rnacentral:rRNA from 1 species
UACGUAGGGUGCAAGCGUUGUCCGGAAUUAUUGAGCGUAAAGAGCUCGUAGGCGGUCUGUUGCGUCGGCUGUGAAAACCCGGGGCUCAACUCCGGGCCUGCAGCCGAUACGGGCAGACUAGAGUUCGGCAGGGGAGACUGGAAUUCCUGGUGUAGCGGUGAAAUGCGCAGAUAUCAGGAGGAACACCGGUGGCGAAGGCGGGUCUCUGGGCCGAUACUGACGCUGAGGAGCGAAAGCGUGGGGAGCGAACAGG